GCCAGUUUGUCAAAACAUUCUAAAAGAAACUUGGGAAGAGGACGCGCCAGAGAAAUACAGCCGCCGAUUAACUAUCAGCUGCGCCUCCCCUGUGCACAGUUUUCUGCCCAACAAAGAGCUGCAUGCUUCACCGUCCUGUUACUGAGAACAUAAUGGUUGAUGAGUGAUGAUCUGUUUGGAACCACCUCUGCAAAACAUUUCCCCAACCUAGAAAAGGGGAAAAGUCCUAUUUUUGGAAUCUGUUGGGGCAUUUCCCAACUUGGCCUUCUGAAUACUUGCAGGCAUAUGGAAGAGGACAUUAGGAAACCGACAUGCACAGACGGACAGCCAUGUGAGGACGCAGAGGGAAGACGCCAUCUACAAGCCAAGGAGAGGCCUCAGGGGAAACCAGGCCUGAGACACCUUGAUCCUCCUAGGUUUCCAGCCUCCGGAGCCGUGCAAGAACGAAUUUCCAUUGUUAGGGGCUCCUGUGUGGGGGACUUGUUACGCAGCCGCGGCUGUAUCCACAGUCACAGAGCGUGACAUCCUCCUGCCUCAGACUCUGCUAGCUGCAGCCCACGCCCAUGGAUCUGAGCAUUCACCAAGAACAGGUGACUCCACCUCCAGGAAGCCCGGACACCACGCAGAGGCGGCCAGCGGGUCCACCCCACACGCCGAGCAACACAAAGGUCCCUGCAGGGCUGCACCUGCAUGCGCAAAAAAUGGUUGGUCAUCUGAAUUUGCCCUGCAACACGGCAAAGUGGGGGCACGGGGUUCGGGGUCCGCCCAAACACCUGAAUGCUAGCCUGGCUUCACUUUUAUUCACUGGCCAUGGGCGGGGACAUUCACACAUCUUCUUGUCUUCUAGUGUCCUCAUCUGUGGAACCGGGGCGAUGAUAUCUGCCGUAGUCAAGUAAUUGGUUGGAAAAUCCUUCAAAGCAUUUGAUGGGAUACAGAAAGGUGCAGUGUUAUUACUUUACCUCUGAUAGCCAUCAUCGUCUUAGAUCUUAAACACCUUUAAAAUGACACGCAUUGAAGCAGCACAGUGCACAGUGAUUUCUGUCCUCUCCCUGCAGGCGGGGAGCAGGAGGAGGGACACCGUCCUGCAUAUGGCCCAGAAGCAAGGCCGACUGGUCCCUUCACACCAGUGUGCAUUGAAGAGCUUUCCCGUGAAGCUCUUUCUGCCGAAACCCUUCUCCUCCCAUCCUCUCAGGAACUGGGAGCUGCCAGGAGGGGUGGCCAGAUCCACAGUGCUCAAAGUGUGGUCCAGGGACCAGCAGCAUGGCUCCCGUGGGAGCUCAUCAGUCAUGCAGAGUCCCAGGUGAUUUGUGUGCACAGCCAAGUGUGAGCAGUGCUGGUUUAGGAAGAUGAGGAGGAAGAGGAAGAUGGUAGCUACCUGGUGAUUGUUUUGUGUUCUGCUUUUGUGCUUUAUCUAGAAGGCAUGCAGCGGAGAUCAGAGGAAGGGCCAUUUGGUCCAGAGAGACCCUGGUUCACAGGCUUGUCCUGUCCCACACAAUGUUGGGAUGAACUGAAGAAAAUGCCUCCAUUCUCAGACCCAAAAGGUGCAAAGACGGCACCUUUGGGAGAGCCAGGCACUCCCAGUGUCUUGAGUGCUGAAUUUAGUAAGACACCGUAUUGUGCAUUCAAAAGCAAUUAGAUCUCUAGAAUGAACUUUUCACUGGCACUCAAAAGAGAACCAAGGAAGCAGAGAAGGAUGAUAAAUGGCAUCUUAGUGGUUCCUGGCACCCGUCUUAAGAGUAAGAUCUUUUACUACAUUACAGGGCUGGACAUUUUCCCAAAAUUGUAUAGAUCCUUCGUGUCAUUAUUUUCUCCUGCAUUUCUGGUCAUCUGCAGCACACUCCCCAGGCGGGUGAGUGGUGUCCGAGGUCUCACCCUGCGGGACUGGGUUCCACUACUCAGGAACCGGCAGCCUGUUUGGGGGAAUGCUCCUCCCAUGCAGGCACACACCUGCCGGACCAUCCAGGAAGAAAAAGGGGUUGUGUUUUCUCUGAUCCACCAAAUUCAGAUCAUUCUAGAGCGAAAUCCAAUUUCAGUUUAGAAAUGGGUUUCAACACUUAACAUUUCAGACACUGCAUCUUCUCCUGGCUCCAACAUUUUUCAUCUUUUAAGAAAUACCCAGUUUUGAAUAGGCUGUGACCAGACCUGUCAUCACUUCAGGUGGAGACAGGGCAGGUCAUCAGCGAACACCUGGAGUGUUUGAAGAGGCCACCACACCCCAGGGGCCGGGGAAGGGGCGACCUGUGUCUUUCUGCUUGCCUAGUGGUUCCUGGAUCCCAGGUCCAUACCAUCUUUGCCAGACUGGAAAGAAUGGAUGCAGGCUGGGUGUGGUGGCUCGUGCCUGUAAACCCGCACCAGAGAGGCCAAGACAGGAGGAUCCCUUGACCUCUUG